CAGUAGCCGCGGUAAUACGGAGGGUGCAAGCGUUAUUCGGAAUUACUGGGCGUAAAGCGCACGCAGGCGGUUGCCCAAGUCAGAUGUGAAAGCCCCGGGCUUAACCUGGGAACUGCAUUUGAAACUGGGCGACUAGAGUAUGAAAGAGGAAAGCGGAAUUUCCAGUGUAGCAGUGAAAUGCGUAGAUAUUGGAAGGAACACCGAUGGCGAAGGCAGCUUUCUGGGUCGAUACUGACGCUCAUGUGCGAAAGCGUGGGGAGCAAACAGGAUUAGAUACCCGCGUAGUCCCUGUCUCUUAUAC
rnacentral:rRNA from 1 species